rnacentral:rRNA from 1 species
UACGAAGGGGACUAGCGUUGUUCGGAAUCACUGGGCGUAAAGCGCACGUAGGCGGAUAUGUCAGUCAGGGGUGAAAUCCCGGGGCUCAACCUCGGAACUGCCUUUGAUACAGCAUAUCUUGAGUCCGAUAGAGGUGGGUGGAAUUCCUAGUGUAGAGGUGAAAUUCGUAGAUAUUAGGAAGAACACCGGUGGCGAAGGCGGCCAUCUGGACGGUAACUGACGCUGAGACGCGAAAGCUAGGGGAGCAAACAGG